AGCUGGCUACAGGCGUACGAGUGUAGAUAGGCGCUGGGAGCGACACCCGUAAAAAGCGUA
rnacentral:ncRNA from 1 species